rnacentral:lncRNA from 1 species
CUGGCCACAGGGGCACUGCAGCUGGAAGGCCCUUCGGAGUUAUCCCAAGCUAGGGGAAGGCAGCUGGGCCUUCCUAGGGCUGCCCUUGAGCUGGGUGAAGACGGGCUUUGGCGUGAGGUUCCCACGUGUGCCCGCAGGAGCCCAUCUCUGAGGGAACCUUCUCCCAGAUUGCAGGCAGGAGAGGCAGCUGGGGCUGGGAGGGGCCUCGGAGGGGAGCCCGGUUGGCUGUUCCCAGAAGACCAGUCAGGGUGCAGAGACAGUGCCACAGGGCACGCUGAGCUCUGCAGGGGCCUAGGAAGCCCCUCCCGCUGGAAAGUACUGUGGAGACUGACCUUAAUCCCUCCCAGCAGAGAAGCCACAGCGCAGGCGCCUCUGGCCCCCAAAAGGAGCUUUCUUGACAGAUGUGUCAGACUGACCAAAAGACAAGGCACUUUGAGGAGAUUAUGCUGUCUGCGUGCUGCCUGGCCUUGCAUCCCAGGAGAGGCUCGCUCGGGGCUUCUGGGAAGAGAGGGCUUCAGCAGAAGCCUCGCUGUCCACCUCCCGGCCAGCCCCAGAGGAGGCAAGAAAGGAACCUCGAGCCACCUCAGGGGAAGGACCCAGAGGCAGAACAGGCCAAGGGACAGGAAGCAGACGACGGCUUCGGAGUCUGAGCUGCUGACCCUGGGCCUUCUUGCCCACUCCUCGGGGGCUGUGUGAGCGGCCACAGCCCCCAGCCCAGAGACCCUGCCUGGAGAGGAGCUGUUUUUGUUUUUGUGUUCAGCUCUGCCGCGUGGCCCUCCCCACACGCACAUUUCCCUUCGUGACCUUGUGACUCCUCCAUUAGGCCUCCUUUCUUCUUGCUUCAAGAAAGAGCCAGGCGGGAGGGCCGGGGCCGGGCGGGUGGCAGGCGGGCGAGAGGCUGAGCCAAUUGCAGCGUCUGCGAGGUGCAAAGCAAUCAGCAGAGCCGCUGGUGAGCGGGUCACUCAGUAGUGUGCACAUCAGGGUGAAAUCUUUUCCGCUCCUCGCCAAACCCCUAGUGAAAGACAAUCAGGCUCGCUGUCACCGAGCUAAUUCUGUCUAUAUAAAAGCAGUAAUGAAAUUCACGGCAGGAUUACCCUCUCCAUCCAAUGGGCCAGCGUCGUGGUGACAUAUCUCUCUUAUUGCCCGAAUGUAACACACCAUCUAAUUUACGUCGUGUAGCGAGCAGGAAUGAAAUGUUCAUAAAGAAUUGCUGCAUCUCGUCACCUUAACUGCGGCCCGGGGCUCUGAGGCAUCUGUCAGGGAGAAGAGCAGGAGGAGGGGCGGCGGGGCUCAGGGAGCAGCCGCCGGGGGCAGGGG